AUUGAACGUUGGCGGCAGGCCUAACACAUGCAAGUCGAGCGGAUGAAGAGAGCUUGCUCUCUGAUUUAGCGGCGGACGGGUGAGUAAUGCCUAGGAAUCUGCCCGGUAGUGGGGGAUAACGUUCCGAAAGGAACGCUAAUACCGCGUACGUCCUACGGGAGAAAGCAGGGGACCUUCGGGCCUUGCGCUAUCAGAUGAGCCUAGGCCGGAUUAGCUAGUUGGGGAGGUAAUGGCUCACCAAGGCGACGAUCCGUAACUGGUCUGAGAGGAUGAUCAGUCACACUGGAACUGAGACACGGUCCAGACUCCUACGGGAGGCAGCAGUGGGGAAUAUUGGACAAUGGGCGAAAGCCUGAUCCAGCCAUGCCGCGUGUGUGAAGAAGGUCUUCGGAUUGUAAAGCACUUUAAGUUGGGAGGAAGGGCAGUAAGUUAAUACCUUGCUGUUUUGACGUUACCGACAGAAUAAGCACCGGCUAACUUCGUGCCAGCCGCCGCUGUAACAC
rnacentral:rRNA from 1 species